CGAGCGGACUUUAAAAGCUUGCUUUUAAAGUUAGCGGCGGACGGGUGAGUAACACGUGGGCAACCUGCCUGUAAGACUGGGAUAACUUCGGGAAACCGGAGCUAAUACCGGAUAAUGCUUUUAAUUUCAUGAUGGAAAGCUGAAAGACGGCAUCUCGCUGUCACUUACAGAUGGGCCCGCGGCGCAUUAGCUAGUUGGUGAGGUAACGGCUCACCAAGGCAACGAUGCGUAGCCGACCUGAGAGGGUGAUCGGCCACACUGGGACUGAGACACGGCCCAGACUCCUACGGGAGGCAGCAGUAGGGAAUCUUCCGCAAUGGACGAAAGUCUGACGGAGCAACGCCGCGUGAGUGAUGAAGGUUUUCGGGUCGUAAAGCUCUGUUGUUAGGGAAGAACAAGUACAAGAGUAACUGCUUGUACCUUGACGGUACCUAACCAGAAAGCCACGGCUAACUGCGUGUCAGCAGCCGCGGUAAUACGUAGGUGGCAAGCGUUGUCCGGAAUUAUUGGGCGUAAAGCGCGCGCAGGCGGUCCUUUAAGUCUGAUGUGAAAGCCCACGGCUCAACCGUGGAGGGUCAUUGGAAACUGGGGGACUUGAGUGCAGAAGAGAAGAGUGGAAUUCCACGUGUAGCGGUGAAAUGCGUAGAGAUGUGGAGGAACACCAGUGGCGAAGGCGACUCUUUGGUCUGUAACUGACGCUGAGGCGCGAAAGCGUGGGGAGCAAACAGGGUUUGUUACCCUGGUAGUCGGUGGGGUAAACUUUUGGUGCUAGGUGUUAGAGGGUUUCCGCCCUUUAGUGCUGCAGCAAACGCAUUAAGCACUCCGCCUGGGGAGUACGGCCGCAAGGCUGAAACUCAAAGGAAUUGACGGGGGCCCGCACAAGCGGUGGAGCAUGUGGUUUAAUUCGAAGCAACGCGAAGAACCUUACCAGGUCUUGACAUCCUCUGACACUCCUAGAGAUAGGACGUUCCCCUUCGGGGGACAGAGUGACAGGUGGUGCAUGGUUGUCGUCAGCUCGUGUCGUGAGAUGUUGGGUUAAGUCCCGCAACGAGCGCAACCCUUGAUCUUAGUUGCCAGCAUUAAGUUGGGCACUCUAAGUGACUGCCGGUGACAACCGGAGGAAGGUGGGAUGACGUCAAUCAU
rnacentral:rRNA from 1 species